rnacentral:rRNA from 1 species
GAUGAACGCUGGCGGCGUGCCUAAUACAUGCAAGUCGAGCGAACAGACGAGGAGCUUGCUCCUCUGACGUUAGCGGCGGACGGGUGAGUAACACGUGGAUAACCUACCUAUAAGACUGGGAUAACUUCGGGAAACCGGAGCUAAUACCGGAUAAUAUAUUGAACCGCAUGGUUCAAUAGUGAAAGACGGUUUUGCUGUCACUUAUAGAUGGAUCCGCGCCGCAUUAGCUAGUUGGUAAGGUAACGGCUUACCAAGGCAACGAUGCGUAGCCGACCUGAGAGGGUGAUCGGCCACACUGUAACUGAGACACGGUCCAGACUCCUACGGGAGGCAGCAGUAGGGAAUCUUCCGCAAUGGGCGAAAGCCUGACGGAGCAACGCCGCGUGAGUGAUGAAGGUCUUCGGAUCGUAAAACUCUGUUAUUAGGGAAGAACAAAUGUGUAAGUAACUAUGCACGUCUUGACGGUACCUAAUCGGAAAGCCACGGCUAACUACGUG